rnacentral:misc_RNA from 1 species
CCGGGCAGCGACAUCAUCUCAUCCGCGCCUCUUCAUUCGUUGGCGCGAGCGCGUGCGCUCGCCCGGCGUGGGUUCUCCUGUGCUGGAUACCCGUGACAGGGCAUCGUGUCGGUUAAAUCGUCCCUCUGCCGCCUUGCGCUGCUUCCCCUCGCGGGCUGGCAGCGCGGGGUGGCCAUCACAGCGCGCGCCGUGCGUCCCAUCCCGCCGACCCGUAAGAAGGUCGUGCGGGCUGACGACCCGCGGCUCGAYGCUCGGUCUCUCGGGUACGGAACGCCGUGUGUGGCACGGGGCCUCGGCCUCGGAGCGCCACAAACCAAGCGUUCUACGCUUCGUGCGAACGACCGUCGGCCCUGCCCGUUGCCGCGCCCACGUGAGUUCGCUGCGGGGCAGGUGCCGACGUCGGUGAGGAAUGCUACCU